UGGGGAAUAUUGGACAAUGGGGGCAACCCUGAUCCAGCAAUGCCGCGUGUGUGAAGAAGGUCUUCGGAUUGUAAAGCACUUUCGACGGGGACGAUGAUGACGGUACCCGUAGAAGAAGCCCCGGCUAACUUCGUGCCAGCAGCCGCGGUAAUACGAAGGGGGCUAGCGUUGCUCGGAAUGACUGGGCGUAAAGGGCGUGUAGGCG
rnacentral:rRNA from 1 species